rnacentral:rRNA from 1 species
AGCAGCCGCGGUAAUUCCAGCUCCAAUAGCGUAUAUUAAAGUUGUUGCAGUUAAAAAGCUCGUAGUUGAAUUUCGGGGUUAGUAGGUUGGUCAUGCCUCUGGUAUGUACUGGUCUCACUGAUUCCUCCUUCCUUAUGAACCGUAAUGCCAUUAAUUUGGUGUUGCGGGAAAUUUGGACUGUUACUUUGAAAAAAUUAGAGUGUUUAAAGCAAGCUAACGCUUGAAUACAUUAGCAUGGAAUAAUGAAAUAGGACGUUCGAUCUUAUUUUGUUGGUUUCUAGGAUUGACGUAAUGAUUAAUAGGGAUAGUUGGGGGCAUUAGUAUUCAAUUGUCAGAGGUGAAAUUCUUGGAUUUAUUGAAGACUAACUACUGCGAAGGCAUUUGCCAAGGAUGUUUUCAUUAAUCAAGAACGAAAGUUAGGGGAUCGAAGACGAUCAGAUACCGUCGUAGUCUUAACCAUAAACUAUAGCCGACUAGGGAUCGGAUGAUGUUAAUUUUUUAAUGUACUCAUUCGGCGCCUUACGGG